rnacentral:RNase_P_RNA from 1 species
CAGACCUGUAGAUCGGUCGCGGGGGUAGUUUGUCCUCGAGGAAAGUCCGGGCUCCUAAAGGGUAUGGUGCUGGGUAACCCCCAGGGGGAUCGUUCCCGAGGUUGAUCUUGAAGGCUGACGCUUUAGACCGGCCGUGCCGGCCGGUUGGGGCGGAUCAGCUGUUUGGAUCGACAGGGGACAGGUUCUACGGAAAGUGCCGCAGAAAAUAUACCGCCUGAUAUUUACUAAAGGUAAGGGUGAAAAGGUGAGGUAAGAGCUCACCGCCUGAAAUGGCGACAUUUCAGAGGCUGGUAAACCCCGCCAGGAGCAAGGCCAAAUAGAAUGGCUCAAAGUUACCCGCUUUUGCCAAAUGGGUAGGCCGCAGGAGGUGUUAGGGCGCCGAGCGCUGAACGACAUCCCAGAUAGAUGACCGUUGGAACAGAACCCGGCUUACUGCAGGUCUGUUUU